rnacentral:pre_miRNA from 1 species
ACAACAUUCGGACCGUCGAUCUACGGAGCAAUAUCACCCGCUCGGUGAAAGAUCUUUCUUUUAUCGU